rnacentral:rRNA from 1 species
GCACAAGCGGUGGAGCAUGUGGCUUAAUUCGAUGCAACGCGAAGAACCUUACCUGGGCUUGACAUGCAGGGAAAUCUCGUAGAGAUACGGGGUCCGUAAGGGCCUUGCACAGGUGGUGCAUGGCUGUCGUCAGCUCGUGUCGUGAGAUGUUGGGUUAAGUCCCGCAACGAGCGCAACCCUCGUUCUAUGUUGCCAGCACGUAAUGGUGGGGACUCAUAGGAGACUGCCGGGGUCAACUCGGAGGAAGGUGGGGAUGACGUCAAGUCAUCAUGCCCCUUAUGUCCAGGGCUGCACACAUGCUACAAUGGCCGGUACAAAGAGCUGCGAUACCGCAAGGUGGAGCGAAUCUCAUAAAGCCGGUCUCAGUUCGGAUUGGGGUCUGCAACUCGACCCCAUGAAGUCGGAGUCGCUAGUAAUCGCAGAUCAGCAACGCUGCGGUGAAUACGUUCCCGGGC